rnacentral:misc_RNA from 1 species
UCCUGUUCGGUUGCUUCCGGUGAUAUUUGCUAACAUAUUAAUUUUGUUUUCUAGUGUUGUGUCUGUCGACUUUUCUGGUUAUUAGGCCACUGCCACGUUUUCGUAUUUGUUAAAACAACACAAUGAACCAACACCAAUUAUAAAUAUGUGUGAAUAUAACGGAAGCUCAUGAGAGAAGGUCAAGGCUGAAAAACAAAAAUGGAGUCGUGCAAUGCAGUUGAGAGAGAAGUUGAGAAAGUAUUUAACAAAUUUGCUGGCUUGAAGGACCAUUCAACCAAAAACCUUGAUGAAUUGUGCAAUUCAAUCCAAAGUAUACAGCGGGAGUUAGGUGACGGUGAAACACUAACAGCAACCCAAACCUUGAUAUUGACACAGACUGUUCGCAGGAUUAAAGAGGCAGUAUCACGCUUGGGACAGGAACAUAAAGAGCUUCAUAGCACUGUGUCUAAAGUCGGGAAAUCAAUUGACAGGAAUUUUGUCAAUGAUUUGACUUCCAUAGCAACAGAUGGGGCAUUUGAAGGAACGGAAAAAACUCACCUACUAAACGAAGUUGUCUGCGAACACUUUAUGAGACAGGGGAUGUUGGACAUUGCUGAUGCUCUUGUUGCGGAGGCAAACUUAGAAAUCGCAGGAGAGAAAAAAGAACCUUUCUUAGAAUUGCAUCGGAUACUUGGAGCGUUGAAACAAAAGAAUUUAGAACCAGCGUUAUGCUGGGCGACGUCAAAUAAAGACCGAUUACGAGAAAUUAACAGUUGCUUAGAGUUUAAGCUACAUAGAUUAAAGUUCAUUGACCUCCUACGUCAAGGACAUAUGUCUCAGACCGAGGCUUUAUACUACUCCCGACACCUGUCACAGUUUGCCAGCCAGUAUCCAAGAGACCUACAGGUACUGAUGGGCAGUAUGCUAUACCUAAGACAAGGUAUUGAGAAUUCUCCGUACGCCCAUCUGGUGGCCCCUAUCUACUGGGAGGAGAUCUGCGAUGUGUUUACAAGGGAUGCCUGCUGCCUUCUGGGCAUGUCUGUGGAGAGCCCCCUAAGUGUUAGUAUCCGAGCGGGUUGUCUAGCCUUACCUCCCCUACUAAAUAUCCGACAAGUGAUGCAGCAACGACAGGUGUCGGGAGUCUGGAGCAACAAGGACGAGUUACCGGUAGAGAUAGACUUGGGGAAGGAUUACCGAUACCACUCCACCUUCGCCUGUCCGAUCCUGCGCCAACAGACAACAGACACCAAUCCGCCCAUGAGGCUUAUUUGUGGUCAUGUGAUAUCAAAGGACGCCCUUACAAAACUUUCAAAUGGAACAAAGGUGAAGUGUCCUUACUGCCCUAUAGAACAGCUACCCAUGGAAGCCAAGCAGAUUUACUUCUGAGAGGCCAUGCUGAUUAAUGAAGUGGAAGUCAAAGGAUUGCCUUUUGGUGGGACUUACGUAGUGGGUGUAUUCUGCACAAGCUUGCUUCCAAAUCAAAAGUUUAAUUUGUGAAUUUUGUUUUGAGAGCAAGACACCGAUUUCUGUCAAUUUCAGUGAAGAUGUCUGGUGUUUCCUGCAAGAAUAUUGCUUCUACAGGGAAAUAAAUGUGGAAUUCUGUUUAUGAAGCCCUCAACGUUUCUAGAUGUGACUCACACUCAACGUUUUAGCAACUUCCUAGAGGUCAUAGUGCAACACUGACACCAUGGAGGUCACAUGUCAAUAUUGACACCAUGGAGGUCACAGGUCAACACUGACACCAUGGAGGUCACAUGUCAUAGUGCAACACUGACACCAUGGAGGUCACAGGUCAAUAUUGAUACCACGGAGGUCACAGGUCAAUAUUGACACCAUGGAGGUCACAGGUCAACACCAUGACAGCACAAGCAUGUUUCAGUCUGUGAUCUGACAGUAUUUUUUACAGAGUUUGUGCUUAGACUGAACUUGUAUAUAAUCAAGGGACAAAUUUCUGUUUGUAUUUAUAGUUAAAGUGAAAUAUCUUGGACCGGAGGUGUGCAACUUAAAACCCCCCACCAAACUAUUAAGCUAUUUUGAAGGACAAUGAACUUUUGAAAAUAGCAUUUCAAUAAACAUUUGCUCCUGGUACUGGAUUGCAUCCAUACCCCGUUAUUGUUAUGUACUGGGUUCUUUAUGUACUGCGUCAGUAACAUGUCUAUUGAACGACCCCGUUAUUGUAAUGUACUGGGUUCUUUAUGUACUGCGUCAGUAACAUGUCUAUUGAACGUCCCCGUUAUUGUAAUGUACUGUGUUCUUUAUGUUCUGCGUCAGUAACAUGUCUAUUGAACGACCCCGCUAUUGUAAUGUACUGGGUUCUUUAUGUACUGCGUCAGUAACAUGUCUAUUGAACGUCCCCGUUAUUGUAAUGUACUGUGUUCUUUAUGUUCUGCGUCAGUAACAUGUCUAUUGAACGACCCCGUUAUUGUAAUGUACUGUGUUCUUUAUGUACUGCGUCAGUAACAUGUCUAUUGAACGAUUCCUUUUUGAUGUACAGCAAUCCAGGGGAGACAAUCAAUUACAGUUGUAGGCCGGUGAUCAAGAUGUAAGAUGUUACAUAUGUUGGUAAAAUAGAAGAUUUAUCUGUUCCAAGUUUAAAUGUCUGUGAAAUGAAAUGUAAAAUAUGUGAUAUUUUCUGUAAUCAGUGACAUCCCUGUAAACACAUCAUUGCUGUUAAAGGAUCCCCGUGUUACUGCCAAAAACGAAGUCCAUGUAUUGGAUAACCAUGAUGUCAUUUUUGAAAGAAACCAUGCAUUGUGGUAUUUUUAUGGAAAUAAUAAAGAGAAAAUAAACAAAAUAUAAUGGAUAAGAGUGUCUGAGUGUAGAACAUUGGGUGGGGCUAGACCAGGAUUUAAACCCUGGACAUGAGAUUGCUAUUCUAUCGCUGUAACCAAUGGAGUUACCUGGUCAAUGGAACCCUGGACACCAGAUUGCUAUUCUAUCGCUGUAACCAAUACUCCACCUGGUCAAUGGAACCCUGGACACCAGAUUGCUAUUCUAUCGCUGUAACCAAUGGAGUUACCUGAUCAAUGGUACUCUGGACACCAGAUUGCUAUUCUAUCGCUGUAAUUAAUGGAGUUACCUGGUCAAUGGAAGUGUGCUAGCCCAAUAUUAAUUGUACUACAGUUACGUCCAAACGGAAGUCAAGGUGACUGUAUAGGAAUAAUGGCAGUGAAGUGGGACAGUGAUCCUACAGAGAAUCUUUUGUACCACAAUUGACCUUUGAGAUAAUGUUUUGACCCCUAAAAUUGGUUUUGACUCUUGAACAGAACAGGUCUAGUUAACAUGUGGCAGUGUUUUGACAUCCAAAUAUAAGGAAACAUGUUAUUUGACUUGUGAAAUUGCAGCAUUUUAAGGGUCAGCUGAAAGUCCUGGUGCCGGUAUGUGUUUUAUCACGGGUACAUAACCACUUUGCCAAGUUAUGAUGAAUAGAAUCAAGGCCAAGUGGCAUAUUUAAUAUUUCUAAUCAAAACAAUGUCUUCUCUCUCAGAUUUAGUAUUAAAUUUCUGUCUCCUGGCGGUUUUUGUUGCUCUUUGUGGAUAAAGAAAUGUAAAUAAAUAUCUGUCGAUUUCAGAGCUAGUUAAAAAGCUGAUUGUACAGAAGGUGUAAAUAUUCUGUGUUGUUGUAGUGUAACGUUUGUUUUAUCAUUGUUUCUAUUUAUUCCUAAUGUUAAGAACUUGGGUAAGAUGCCCACCAGAUCAUUCUCAGUCUUACAGGAAUUUACUUCACCCAGACUUUGCCCGAUUGGUCGGGCAGCACUGAGAUGUCAGUAGUGAUUAAAAGGAGACGAUAGUUGUUCCAAAUAUAAACAGACAACCGCUGUAGGAUCAAUUAUCUGGAUAACUUGGGUGAUCUGUCGAGCAGAUUAGCCGAUAGGCCAAGUGUACUAGGUGGUCAGUCAAUAGUCUGUCAAAAGUCCAGUGGUCCCUUUUUUAGUGGAUAUGAUGAUUUGUCAAGUGGAUCAGUGGGUUGUUCAAAUGUACCUGGUGAUCUUUCAAGGGGAUGAUUGGUCAAGUGGGACAUUGGGUUGGUCAAAUGUACCUGGUGAUCUUUCAAGGGGAUGAUUGGUCAAGUGGGACAUUGGGUUGGUCAAAUGUACCUGGUGAUCUUUCAAGGGGAUGAUUGGUCAAGUGGGACAUUGGGUUGGUCAAAUGUACCUGGUGAUCUUUCAAGGGGAUGAUUGGUCAAGUGGGACAUUGGGUUGGUCAAAUGUACCUGGUGAUCUUUCAAGGGGAUGAUUGGUCAAGUGGGACAUUGGGUUGGUCAAAUGUACCUGGUGAUCUUUCAAGGGGAUGAUUGGUCAAGUGGGACAUUGGGUUGGUCAAAUGUACCUGGUGAUCUUUCAAGGGGAUGAUUGGUCAAGUGGGACAUUGGGUUGGUCAAAUGUACCUGGUGAUCUUUCAAGGGGAUGAUUGGUCAAGUGGGACAUUGGGUUGGCAAAUGUUCAAUUAGAGAGGAUGAUUGGUCAAGUGUCUUGGUCAAUUAUGGACAAAGUGACCUUUCUAGGGUGAUUGGUCAAGUGGGACAGUGGUUUGGUCAAAUGGACAAAGUGACCUUUCAAGUAGAGAGGAGUGUAACAUGUUAGUCAAAUGCAGCUGGUGACCUUUCUAGGGUGAUUGGUCAAAUAUACUGUAGGUGAUCAGUCAAGUUUACCAUCAGUAUGACACUGUAGGUGAUCAGUAGUUUACCAUCAGUAUGACACUGUAGGUGAUCAGUAGUUUACCAUCAGUAUGACACUGUAGGUGAUCAGUAGUUUACCAUCAGUAUGACACUGUAGGUGAUCAGUAGUUUACCAUCAGUAUGACACUGUAGGUGAUCAGUAGUUUACCAUCAGUAUGACACUGUAGGUGAUCAGUAGUUUACCAUCAGUAUGACACUGUAGGUGAUCAGUAGUUUACCAUCAGUAUGACACUGUAGGUGAUCAGUAGUUUACCAUCAGUAUGACACUGUAGGUGAUCAGUAGUUUACCAUCAGUAUGACACUGUAGGUGAUCAGUAGUUUACCAUCAGUAUGACACUGUAGGUGAUCAGUAGUUUACCAUCAGUAUGACACUGUAGGUGAUCAGUAGUUUACCAUCAGUAUGACACUGUAGGUGAUCAGUAGUUUACCAUCAGUAUGACACUGUAGGUGAUCAGUAGUUUACCAUCAGUAUGACACUGUAGGUGAUCAGUAGUUUACCAUCAGUAUGACACUGUAGGUGAUCAGUAGUUUACCAUCAGUAUGACACUGUAGGUGAUCAGUAGUUUACCAUCAGUAUGACACUGUAGGUGAUCAGUAGUUUACCAUCAGUAUGACACUGUAGGUGAUCAGUAGUUUACCAUCAGUAUGACACUGUAGGUGAUCAGUAGUUUACCAUCAGUAUGACACUGUAGGUGAUCAGUAGUUUACCAUCAGUAUGACACUGUAGGUGAUCAGUAGUUUACCAUCAGUAUGACACUGUAGGUGAUCAGUAGUUUACCAUCAGUAUGACACUGUAGGUGAUCAGUAGUUUACCAUCAGUAUGACACUGUAGGUGAUCAGUAGUUUACCAUCAGUAUGACACUGUAGGUGAUCAGUAGUUUACCAUCAGUAUGACACUGUAGGUGAUCAGUAGUUUACCAUCAGUAUGACACUGUAGGUGAUCAGUAGUUUACCAUCAGUAUGACACUGUAGGUGAUCAGUAGUUUACCAUCAGUAUGACACUGUAGGUGAUCAGUAGUUUACCAUCAGUAUGACACUGUAGGUGAUCAGUAGUUUACCAUCAGUAUGACACUGUAGGUGAUCAGUAGUUUACCAUCAGUAUGACACUGUAGGUGAUCAGUAGUUUACCAUCAGUAUGACACUGUAGGUGAUCAGUAGUUUACCAUCAGUAUGACACUGUAGGUGAUCAGAAGUUUACCAUCAGUAUGACACUGUAGGUGAUCAGUCAAGUUUACCAUCAGUAUGACACUGUAGGUGAUCAGUCAAGUUUACCAUCAGUAUGACACUGUAGGUGAUCAGUAGUUUACCAUCAGUAUGACACUGUAGGCGACACUGUAACAUUAUAAAAUAAUAGGAUUUGUAUUACAUGUAAUACAUAUUUAUAUCGAGAAUAAACUGCUGUGUAUCAAGGAGACCACACCGUUUAUCUCUGACACUAUCCCACUUCACGGUAUCUUGAACAACAGAUUUUAGUAAAUGAAGGUUUGGUUAUUUGGUACAAACUUUGAGUUGUUUAAAUGAUAGAACUAAUUGACUUAUUGUUUUGUCCUUAAAAAAAAAGAGAAUAAAUUGUUGAUUUUUA